rnacentral:sRNA from 1 species
CCUGAGCUCCUCCCCUGGGGUCUCUUCUGGGCAGUGGCUGCCCUGUCUUCUGACCUCCUCUCUUCUGGCCACCAAACCAAUGGCGGCUCAGCGGCAGCGGGCGCUGGCCAUCAUGUGCCGCGUCUACGUGGGCUCUAUCUACUAUGAGCUGGGGGAGGACACCAUCCGCCAGGCCUUUGCCCCCUUUGGCCCCAUCAAGAGCAUCGACAUGUCCUGGGACUCCGUCACCAUGAAGCACAAGGGCUUUGCCUUCGUGGAGUAUGAGGUCCCCGAAGCUGCACAGCUGGCCUUGGAGCAGAUGAACUCGGUGAUGCUGGGGGGCAGGAACAUCAAGGUGGGCAGACCCAGCAACAUAGGGCAGGCCCAGCCCAUCAUAGACCAGUUGGCUGAGGAGGCACGGGCCUUCAACCGCAUCUACGUGGCCUCUGUGC